UGCAUGUUCAGGAAGCAGUCUUCCACAACUUAGCUAGCAGGCUGAGAAAUGAGGAUUAGGAACCUCAGACCAUCAGCUCCAAAAGGUUCUCUCUAUGAACCUCGGUUCUGUUCCUUCUCCAUGAUAGUACUGUAGAGUUCAUGAAUUCCAACUAUAGCUGAGACUCUGAUGGUUGUACAAAGAUAUUGCAGCUCUUUUCGUUGGAAUGAAAAGGGACCAAGAGAGGAGCUAGUGAGAAGAAGGUCCCAAGAGGCUCUGCUGUUGGCAUCUGUCGUUUUUCAUGGAACAGGAAUCUGGGGCUUCUCUACGCUGAACGUUCCUGUGUCCCAUCUGCUACCACACCCUGAAAUCAAACUCGGCAGCUUAGGUGAAUCAGGCGCUGUACAAACAUGUCAGACUUGCCUCCACCCCUUUUUCUUCUCCCGCUUUCUCCUGCCGUCUUUCUCUCUCGAGUUUAUCGACGUGUCAGCGGAUUCUGGUGGCGGAGCAUUCUCACUUCAUCUGUGGUCACGGAGCAAUGAGGAGUCAGGGGGAUGCUUCUGGAAGGAAAGAAAAACUGGGAGCUGGAUUCCUUUGGGAAGGAGUUUGCUUCAUCUUUACUCCUAUAGCCCAGCCACACCAUCCUCCAAUCGGCUUUACUGCAUGACAGUGGGAGAGUUUACCUCCAGACUCUUCUUUCUCCCUUGGAACUGUCCACCACCAGCAUUGUUCCAGCAGGACUGCCAGGCAUUAAUGCUUUAAUGUAUUUGGGGACAGAGCAUUGAAAAAACAGAAGAGCAAUUUGUGUCUGGUGAGUGUGAGCUCUCAGGUGAAGCUGGAGGAUGUACGGAGAGUAAGAGACCUUUGCCCACUCUUUGUCUGCUUUUCUGAGCUCUCUGUUUGGGUACAACCUGUUGGCCCCUAACACAGCUGCUGGGGAAGGGAAGCUACUGCCUUGCUCUCUCUCCAGCCCUGUCCUACAGGAAAGUCUCAUUCCUGAUGGCGUGAUGAAGCUUUAUAUUAUUUUUAAUGUUGAGUGCUGCCUUGGUAUAUACAUCCUGCAUGCUCUGUGAACAAUGAUUUAUGAAUCUAGAAGCAAAGCUGAUCAAAUAGUGGAAGGAGCUGUCAGCAAAUAGCUUGCUGGAUUAGUAACUGUGCUCCCAGAUGGAAAACCUGCUCUGUGCACAGAGCAGUUUGUUUCUGUCUAGAUGGGUGUGAGUAUGGAUGUAUCUGGGAAGGCCACCCUGGAGCCUGUUGCCAAGGCUUGCAAAAUGAGAAACAACCACUUGCUUGGUCACAAAGUGGUUUUCAUUCCCAAGGAGAAUGAAAUUAAGGCGAAUUCUUUUAAGUUUGGCUGUCCUGCCUCCAAUCUGAAAAAAAAAAAGAGUUCUUUUUAACCUACUUCUGUAAUAUGCUUAGGAAAAUUCGCAAGCAGAGAAAAGAGCUAAAUAUUUGUGUAAAUUGCUUUAAACAAAAUUGCUUAAAGCAGCUUGGACUAGCUUAGCCCAAGUGCAAGUUAAAAUACACAGCCAGGCUCUGAGCUCUGUAUUGGGUUUUUUGGGUACCCACAGAGGUACCCUGGUGAAGUUCCAUCCCAUUCAGAGCCGCACAUGAGCUCUGUACCUGGACAGGACACAAAUGAAUAGGAGUAGCUGAAGGCUCACCAGGAGUUGUGCUGCUCAGCACUGAGGGCUGCAGAGAGCACAGCAAGCUGACACCUUGGUGGGGGUUCUGGGCUGGGAAGCAGCUUCCUUGUCUGUGG
rnacentral:lncRNA from 1 species